UAAGCAGUAUAUAUUACCCUGCAACUCACAACUGGCAGCCCACUGAAGAUAAGCAGGUGUGAGCCUGGUCAGUACCUGGAUAGGAGACUCCUGGGAAAAACUAAGGUUGCUGCUGGA
rnacentral:rRNA from 1 species